rnacentral:lncRNA from 1 species
AUUUGGCAUGAAGUUUGGGGUGCCAGGAGUCUUUAACAUUGAUGCUGAGUUACUCUAGCUUUCAAACACAACAUUCCUUGGUGAGGCCACUAAGUCUGGCCAUGUUUCACCAUUCUCAGUCACACUGCUUCAUCAGCAGGUCCCUGUCACAGUAGCAGUAUUCUCGCUCAUGUAGAAUAAUUCUCUUCUCCCCUUUUCUACUUUGUUUUGCCAGUCUCAGAGUAUCUUGGCCCUGGGUUGAAUUUAACUUCCUCUCAUCAGCCCAUAGUUUCGGAUCAAAGUUGUUGGUGUUAGAGAUUAGUAACAGCUCUUCCUGCAGAAAUGCAGCCCAUUCUGGUUUGUCCUCACCCUUCCCUUUGGAUGCCCCGGCAGCUGUCACUCGGCUCAGAAAAGUGGCAAGUCCUAGAGAAAGUUAUUUGGAACUGAAUCCUCCUCUAGCAGUCCUGAUUCAUACUUCCCAGUGCUGACAACCCAGUCCUCCUGAUACUUUUAGGCAUAUUCUAGAAAAAACCUGUUCGUGUAGAAAAUUUAUGAUCUGCCAGUUUUGGUGCCCACCCUGAUUCCACCUUCUAGUAUGUUGGCAUGGAACUUUAGAAAAAUCUGACAAUACAGAAUAAAGACAUCUGAUUGGGCAGAAUCCACUUAGGCUUUAAUUCUUGAGUAGUCUCUUUUUGAUGUAGAUUGUUUCUGGACCAGUUUGUCUAAGUCCUGGCUCUUAUUGGCUCAAAUGAAAUGUUAUCUUCACUUUGUAUAUUAUGUAUAAAUUAGAAAAUGAAACGUGUGAAUAACAUUGUAUGAAAUAAACCUGGUCUUGUGUUUUUCUC